rnacentral:rRNA from 1 species
AACGAACGCUGGCGGCAUGCCUAACACAUGCAAGUCGAACGAGACCUUCGGGUCUAGUGGCGCACGGGUGCGUAACGCGUGGUAACCUGCCCUUAGGUUCGGAAUAACUCCCCGAAAGGGGUGCUAAUACCGGAUAAUGUCUUCGGACCAAAGAUUUAUCGCCUUUGGAUGGGCCCGCGUUUGAUUAGCUAGUUGGUAGGGUAAAAGCCUACCAAGGCGACGAUCCAUAGCUGGUAUGAGAGGAUGAUCAGCCACACUGGGAAUGAGAAACGGCCCAGACUACUACGGGAGGAAGCAGUGGGGAAUAUUGGAAAAUGGGAGAAAGCCUGAUAAAGCAAUGCCGCGUGAGUGAUGAAGGCCUUAGGGUUGUAAAGCUCUUUUAACCGGGAUGAUAAUGACAGUACCGGGAGAAUAAGCUCCGGCUAACUCCGUG